rnacentral:rRNA from 1 species
UACAGAGGGUGCGAGCGUUGUCCGGAAUCACUGGGCGUAAAGGGUUCGUAGGUGGCCUGCUGAGUCGGACGUGAAAUCCCUCGGCUCAACCGGGGAACUGCGUCCGAUACUGGUGGGCUCGAGUGCAGGAGAGGAACGCGGAAUUCCAGGUGUAGCGGUGAAAUGCGUAGAUAUCUGGAGGAACACCGGUGGCGAAGGCAAUCCCCUGGACCUGUACUGACGCUCAUGCACGAAAGCGUGGGGAGCAAACAGG